rnacentral:rRNA from 1 species
UACGUAGGGUGCGAGCGUUGUCCGGAAUUAUUGGGCGUAAAGAGCUCGUAGGCGGUCUGUCGCGUCGAUCGUGAAAACUUGGGGCUUAACCCUGAGCUUGCGGUCGAUACGGGCAUGACUGGAGUUCGGCAGGGGAGACUGGAAUUCCUGGUGUAGCGGUGAAAUGCGCAGAUAUCAGGAGGAACACCGAUGGCGAAGGCAGGUCACUGGGCCGCAACUGACGCUGAGGAGCGAAAGCAUGGGGAGCGAACAGG